rnacentral:rRNA from 1 species
GCUUAGAGUUUGAUCCUGGCUCAGAAUGAACGCUGGCGGCGCGCUUAAUACAUGCAAGUCGAGCGGUAAGGCCCCUUCGGGGGUACACGAGCGGCGAACGGGUGAGUAACACGUGGGUAACCUACCCCAAAGCACGGGACAACAGGGGGAAACUCCUGCUAAUACCGUAUGACCUCUUUCGAGUCAGUUCUCGAUUGAGCAAAGCUCCGGCGCUUUGGGAUGGGCCCGCGGCCCAUUAGCUUGUUGGUGGGGUAACGGCCUACCAAGGCUGCGAUGGGUAGCCGGCCUGAGAGGGUGAUCGGCCACACUGGAACUGAGACACGGUCCAGACUCCUACGGGAGGCAGCAGUAGGGAAUCUUGGUCAAUGGGCGAAAGCCUGAACCAGCGACGCCGUGUGUAGGAAGAAGCCUCUAGGGGUGUAAACUACUUUAGGCAGGGACGAAGAUCUGACGGUACCUGCAGAAUAAGCCCCGGCUAACUCCGUGCCAGCAGCCGCGGUAAUACGGAGGGGGCAAGCGUUAUUCGGAAUUACUGGGCGUAAAGCGCGUGUAGGUGGCUUCCUAAGUCCCCCGUUUAAUGUCAUGGCUCAACCAUGGCGCUGCGGGAGAUACUGGGAGGCUUGAGUGCCGGAGAGGGAAACGGAAUUCCUAGUGUAGCGGUGAAAUGCAUAGAUAUUAGGAAGAACACCAGUGGCGAAGGCGGUUUCCUGGACGGUAACUGACGCUGAGACGCGAAAGCCAGGGGAGCAAACGGGAUUAGAUACCCCGGUAGUCCUGGCCGUAAACGAUGGGUACUAGAUGUAGCGGGCUUUCACCCCUGCUGUGUCGACGCUAACGCAUUAAGUACCCCGCCUGGGGAGUACGUU